CGCGCAGGCGGGUUCGUCAGUCAGGGGUGAAAUCCUACAGCUUAACUGUAGAACUGCCUUUGAUACUGCAAACCUUGAGUUCGGAAGAGAGAGGCGGAAUUCCAGGUGUAGUGGUGAAAUACGUAGAUAUCUGGAAGAACACCAGAGGCGAAGGCGGUCUCUUGGUCCGUAACUGACGCUGAGGCGCGAAAGCGUGGGGAGCAAACA
rnacentral:rRNA from 1 species